ACAAGCGGUGGAGCAUGUGGUUUAAUUCGAUGCAACGCGAAGAACCUUACCUAGGUUUGACAUCCGGAAGACCUUCCCGAAAAGGAAGGGUGCCCUUCGGGGAAUUCCGAGACAGGUGCUGCAUGGCUGUCGUCAGCUCGUGCCGUGAGGUGUGGGUUAAGUCCCGCAACGAGCGCAACCCUAUUGCCAGUUGCUACCAGGUAAUGCUGGGCACUCUGGUGAGACUGCCCCGGUUAACGGGGAGGAAGGUGGGGACAACGUCAAGUCAUCAUGGCCCUUACGCCUAGGGCUACACACGUACUACAAUGGCGCAUACAAAGGGCAGCGAUACCGCGAGGUGGAGCCAAUCCCAAAAAGUGCGUCCCAGUCCGGAUUGCAGUCUGCAACUCGACUGCAUGAAGUUGGAAUCGCUAGUAAUUCGAGAUCAGCAUGCUCGGGUGAAUGCGUUCCCGGGCCUU
rnacentral:rRNA from 1 species